CGGACGGGUGAGGAGCGCGUGGAGAACCUGCCCCGGGGUGGGGGAUAACAGUCGGAAACGAUUGCUAAGACCGCAUACGACCCUACGUUGCAGGAUGUAGGGGGAAAGCAGUGAUGUGCCCUGGGAGGGCUCCGCGUCGGAUUAGCUAGUUGGUGGGGUAACGGCCUACCAAGGCCGCGAUCCGUAGCUGGUCUGAGAGGACGGCCAGCCACACUGGGACUGAGACACGGCCCAG
rnacentral:rRNA from 1 species